CAUCAAGCUUUGGGAUGAGGGAGUAGAUAAAAUUAUGGUACGCACAUUACCUCUCUUGACUACUGUCGUAUAUGGAACGAAAUUUAUGACAUGUUUUCUCAAUGCUGAGAAGUCAAAAACUAGAGAAUUUAGACAAGAAAAUACCUAAAGAAAAGCACAAUAUUGAAGAAGAAUAUGAUACAGUACAUCAAGAAAUCUCAACAUGUGUGCAAAGACACUGCAGUGGUUUAGAAUUCUUCUCUGUAAUUGAAUCUCUGUUUGCAAUUUCCUUUUUAAUACAAAUACUAAUCACUGUUGUCAUCAUAAGUCUUAUUGGAAUACUGGUUAUAAUAAACUUAAAUAAACCACACGAGGCUUUUAGAUUUGUACUAUUUGUUGUUGCUCAUUCGUUUAGUUUAUUUUAUCUUAGUUUAUCAUCGCAACGACUAACCGAUAAAAUUAGUUUACUUUUUAAAAAUGUAUAUUUCUGUCGAUGGUAUGAACUGCCAAUAAAAUCAAGAAAAAUGAUACUUCAAAUAUUGACGAAAACAAAAUACACGUACAAACUUACCGCUCUUCAAAUUUAUUCUAUUGAAAUAGAAAGCUUUUCAGUGAUGAUUCGCGCGUCAAUGUCUUAUUUCACAAUGCUUUCAUCGAUGAGAUAAAUUCUUAAUUAUAAUCUAUAUUAAAAUACAACUAAGAUGUGUGAGCCUCAUGAGUGUAAACUACUUAAUAGCUUGUAGCAGUAAGGAGAAUAUAGAGGAGCUUUUAGUGGAAAUGAAGAAAAAUUGGUUUAUUUGGAAAUCCGAAAGGGAAUUUAAAAUUCUUCAUGAACACGAUCUUCAAGGUAGAAAGUUCAUCAUUACAUUUUUGGUUGUUAUUUGCACAUGUUGGUUUGAAUUUCUUUUAGAACCACUGUGUCCAUUAAUUAUGGAUAUCAUAAUGCCAUUAAAUCAGUCUCGUCCAAGAAAAUUCAACCCAGUGGUAGAAUAUUUUGUAAAUCAA